rnacentral:tRNA from 1 species
GGGGAUUUGGCUCAGUGGUAGAACGUUUGCUUAGCAAGCACAAGGCCCUGGGUUUGGUUCCCAGCUCCA